AUUGAACGCUGGCGGCAGGCUUAACACAUGCAAGUCGAGCGGGCGAGGUUGCUUCGGUAAUUGAGCUAGCGGCGGACGGGUGAGUAAAGCUUAGGAAUCUGCCUAUUAGUGGGGGACAACAUUUCGAAAGGGAUGCUAAUACCGCAUACGUCCUACGGGAGAAAGCAGGGGAUCACUUGUGACCUUGCGCUAAUAGAUGAGCCUAAGUCGGAUUAGCUAGUUGGUGGGGUAAAGGCCUACCAAGGCGACGAUCUGUAGCGGGUCUGAGAGGAUGAUCCGCCACACUGGGACUGAGACACGGCCCAGACUCCUACGGGAGGCAGCAGUGGGGAAUAUUGGACAAUGGGGGGAACCCUGAUCCAGCCAUGCCGCGUGUGUGAAGAAGGCCUUUUGGUUGUAAAGCACUUUAAGUGGGGAGGAGGCUCUCUUGGUUAAUACCUGAGAAGAGUGGACGUUACCCACAGAAUAAGCACCGGCUAACUCUGUGCCAGCAGCCGCAGUAAAAC
rnacentral:rRNA from 1 species